GAAUGUGAAGGUUAUACUCCGAAGACGACAACGACGACGAUGCACUACAAGAACGCGGAGCGCGCGCUCGAGCCAGCAGUGCACGCUCCUUACGCGUCUGGCCGGCAGCACGGGAAUUCGAAGCAAGAAGCCUGAGGUGUCAUCGUUUGCACAGUCGGGCUUCGGACUGGAAGAAUGAAGACUGUCACGGCCUGCGCGCUGCUGGCGGCCCUCUGGGUUUUGGUCGCACUCCCCGCCGAAUCGAGCGCUUCGUGGAGCGGCUGCCAGUACUUCAACUGCACACUCAGAACUCCCGUGCGGCCAAACGACAUUGGAAACUUCAUGGAGGCUUUCAACACAUUCAACUCUCAUCCGUGCAUCAACUGCACCUUCUACGGGAACAUCUUCCAGGCUCAGAUCCAUUCUGUAUGAGCCCGACGUGACAAAUGUCUAAAAAAUUUCUCGCAAAAAUAACUCAAUGAAAGAAUGUUUGAAGAAAACGUGUUGUUGU